UGGGGAAUAUUGGACAAUGGGCGAAAGCCUGAUCCAGCAAUGCCGCGUGUGUGAAGAAGGCCUGCGGGUUGUAAAGCACUUUCGGUUGGGAUGAAAAAGCCAAGGCUAAUAUCCUUGGAAAUUGACCUUACCUUCAGAAGAAGCACCGGCUAACUCUGUGCCAGCAGCCGCGGUAAUACAGAGGGUGCAAGCGUUAAUCGGAAUUACUGGGCGUAAAGCGCACGUAGGUGGUUUAACAAGUUGGGUGUGAAAUCCCCGGGCUUAACCUGGGAACUGCAUUCAAAACUAUUAGGCUAGAGUAGAGUAGAGGGAAGUGGAAUUUCCGGUGUAGCAGUGAAAUGCGUAGAUAUCGGAAGGAACACCAGUGGCGAAGGCGGCUUCCUGGACUCAUACUGACACUGAGGUGCGAAAGCGUGGGGAGCAAACAGGAUUAGAUACCCCCGUAGUCC
rnacentral:rRNA from 1 species